UACGGGGGGAGCAAGCGUUGUUCGGAUUUACUGGGCGUAAAGGGCGCGUAGGCGGCCACUGCAAGUCAGUUGUGAAAUCUCCGGGCUUAACCCGGAAAGGUCAACUGAUACUGCAGGGCUAGAGUGCAGAAGGGGCAACUGGAAUUCUCGGUGGUAGCGGUGAAAUGCGUAGAUAUCGAGAGGAACACCUGCGGCGAAGGCGGGUUGCUGGGCUGACACGUGACGCUGGAGGCGCGAAAGCCAGGGGAGCGAACGGGG
rnacentral:rRNA from 1 species